ensembl:lncRNA
AGUUCUUGCUGGAGAUCCCUGGGUGCUUGAGACCUUCCUCAGGAAAAAUCAACCUACGGUUGAGGAACAAUGUGAAGGUGAAGCCAGGUUUGCUGGAUGAGAUUUGUCUCGUGGCUAUUCAACUACCUGGGCUCUCCCUCUUCUGCACAGGACAGGAAGAGAAAUCAAGAUGGAACAGCUGGUGGGAGAUGGCCUACUGGCUAGCGUUAAAGGAAACAGAGUUUGGACUUUGGGAAAAUUGAUUUCAUUUAUUCUGGGUAAUCUUGAACACUGCUAUGCUUUUCUCUGAUUUUGAAUUAAUAGAAAUCAGAUAUAUGCUCUUAAUGAUUUGAUGAAACUUAAAUAAAUUCACGUGGUGAGGAGAGGCAAAGAUCUCUUUGUGGUUACAUGAGGAUUUCCCUCAAUGAGGUUUAUUUACAGCAACAGAUUCCACAGUGCUUUACCCAACUUGUAGAGAGGGUAAUAUCACACAGUUUUGCUGCCUCAUCUCAAAUGAAGUGAUUUUCACCAUAGAAAGAGUUCAUGAGCUUAUUUUUCUUGAAAUACGUGGUUCUUUUGUGAUCUCAUCUUUAUUGUAUUAGCACUGAUUACUCGCUUCUGAAAAUGUAUCUAUCGCACAGUCCUGCUUUGACUGAGGCCUCUCUAUGGCAGUCAGUCUUUAGUGCGUUACUUUUCUGUUUCUCUCUGUUUAACUUCUGAGUGCAUUAACACCGAGAGCUUGAGACAAAGCUAGUGUAACGUAAUCUACUUGUUAUUUUGCCCUGUUGGCACCACAGAAAGAAGGGAGAACAGAGUUGCUGUAGGAAAGUCUUGCAGCUGUAACAUUUCCAUGUAACACUGAGUGUUUUUCUGUGACAAGAAUUACAUUUUCCACUGAGGAGGCCCAAGACCAGGUGCAACAUGUAAACUCUUGUAACUUCCUUGUUUGUGUUUUCAGUCUGGUUCUAAAGCAGAAUAAACCCCAUUGCCUGCUGGAUAUGCCUUCUGAGCAUGUGAGGAAAAAAAUCCUCUGUUAUAAGAUUUUUGAGCCAAAUAAGUGACAAUGACCCCUGGACCCCAAGACCUUUCCUGACAUUAGAAGGCUUCUCCUAUCAGCAAAUGAAGUCCUGACCUAAUCUAGUGACCGGUAGCUGACUUUGUAUUUGUGUUGGUUGCUCUGAAAGUAAUGCCUUGUAUGUAUUUCCGUGGAGAAUACAACAGAUAGAACCAGCACAAGGAUGCUAUUUGAGAGAGAGAAUUCUCAGCUACAGAAUACUGCUUGUCAAUGGUCACUGCUGGUAUCGGUGCAUUUUUGCCAGUGAUGAACAAGAACCUGCAUGCUGCACUCGUAUCUAUCUGCACUAGCAGUGGUGACCCUGAGUUGCCACUGCUGAAACACACCACCAACCUCCCCUGUGCAUUCACAUCCCACGUUUGGUCUCCAUAAAUGUUCAGCAAGCUUCAGUGGCUGUCAACAAGUGCCAUUUUUUUCCACACAGAGGAAUUCAGUGGCACACCUUUGCUUCCCACACACUUCCAUGUUGGAUGCCAUUCUGUUGGACUGCCCCUCUGCUGCCAUUUGUCUCACAGCAACAAAAUGUAUUGGAGUAUUGGUGGGAAGGUUCAGCUUCUACUACCCCACCUGCCGUGUUUCCAUCUAAUGCUGUGGGCCGACAUAAUGAAAUAGGAGGCAUUAUUUUUGGAACGGUCCUCCUAGAAUAUAUGUAGAGUAAUAUAUGCAGAAUAGAAAAUGUUUUGAUAGUAGAUUUGUUCUUUUGGUAUCUAAUUAUUUAUUUAUUUUAUCUACAGUUACGAUAGCGUUAUUUGUAGGGCUUCUCAUAACUGACGUGCAUAUUUUAACAAUGUGUUUGAGUACUCCCUCAUUUCUUCUUUGCCCCAGCAGGUGAAGGGUGAGGGGUGGGAGUGUUCUUUGUAGCUUUAAAUGCAUUAGAGUAAAAGAGGGAAACGUAGAAGCUGUUUCACUGGGUAAAAGAAAUUUUGAACUGUAUAGAUCUAGCAGCAGUAAAUUUGUUGAAAAAUUAUGAAGGGAAAUGCCCUGGUAUUUGAUGAAGAUGUGAAAUACGGCAGGCUAUGAACUAUGUUUAUAUGUUUUUUCUCACUU